rnacentral:tRNA from 1 species
GCCGCUGUAUCCCAAUUGGCAGAGGAGGCAGUCUUAGAAACUGUUUAUGUACGAGUGCUUCGCGCGACCUUCGGUCUACGACUCUCGUCAGCGGCA